rnacentral:rRNA from 1 species
AGAGUUUGAUCCUGGCUCAGAUUGAACGCUGGCGGCAGGCCUAACACAUGCAAGUCGAACGGUAACAGGAAGAAGCUUGCUUCUUUGCUGACGAGUGGCGGACGGGUGAGUAAUGUCUGGGAAACUGCCUGAUGGAGGGGGAUAACUACUGGAAACGGUAGCUAAUACCGCAUAACGUCGCAAGACCAAAGAGGGGGACCUUCGGGCCUCUUGCCAUCGGAUGUGCCCAGAUGGGAUUAGCUAGUAGGUGGGGUAACGGCUCACCUAGGCGACGAUCCCUAGCUGGUCUGAGAGGAUGACCAGCCACACUGGAACUGAGACACGGUCCAGACUCCUACGGGAGGCAGCAGUGGGGAAUAUUGCACAAUGGGCGCAAGCCUGAUGCAGCCAUGCCGCGUGUAUGAAGAAGGCCUUCGGGUUGUAAAGUACUUUCAGCGGGGAGGAAGGGAGUAAAGUUAAUACCUUUGCUCAUUGACGUUACCCGCAGAAGAAGCACCGGCUAACUCCGUGCCAGCAGCCGCGGUAAUACGGAGGGUGCAAGCGUUAAUCGGAAUUACUGGGCGUAAAGCGCACGCAGGCGGUUUGUUAAGUCAGAUGUGAAAUCCCCGGGCUCAACCUGGGAACUGCAUCUGAUACUGGCAAGCUUGAGUCUCGUAGAGGGGGGUAGAAUUCCAGUGUAGCGGUGAAAUGCGUAGAGAUCUGGAGGAAUACCGGUGGCGAAGCGGNCCCUGGACGAAGACUGACGCUCAGUGCGAAGCGUGGGGAGCAACAGGAUAGAUACCUGGUAGUCCACGCCGUAACGAUGUCGACUGNGGUUGNGGCCCUGAGCGUGGCUUCGGAGCUACGCGUUAGUCGACNNCUG